rnacentral:lncRNA from 1 species
GUCUCGGGUGGCUGAGUUGUACUUCCUGAGACAACAUCGUCGACAAUCAUGACUUCCUUGUUUUGUUUUCACCUUGAGUCAUUUGGUCAAUUGUUUGUUCCCAACCUGGUGUUGAACAACAGCGCAUUGCAAGAUGGUAAGAAGAGCAAUCUACUUCUUACCAUCAGAACAGAUGAUCGUGGCGUGAGCAUGAAUAUGUAGAAAAUAAACGCUCAUACUUGAAAGGCUUUUCGUUUUGUAUGUGAUAACUGUGU